UCUGUGUGUUGGUGUUUUACUACUGUUCAUACACCCCUCCAGUGGGUGUCUCUACUGUCUGAUGUCUGCUGGUCUGAGCUGUCUUUCACCCUCAGCCAGGAAGAUCUGCAUGGCCCGGUACAGCAGGUGGAUGCCAAGCUCCCGUUUCCUCUUCACCUGCCAGUUGGACACCAGGCCGUAGAAAUCCCCUCGCUUCUGAUUGGCCAAGCACUUCCCCACAGCACCGGCAUGUCCCAAAGGCAGCAGCCUCAGCAAGAAGGACAAUACGCCUCAAAAACUCGACAAAGAUCCCAAGGAUUAUCAUAGACCUGACCGUGAACACCGUUGACACCCACCUGAGGGAGACACUGCCUAAGAUCUCAAGGCUGCUUGGUUCUGGUCUUCCUGGCCCUGCUGGAGAACAUCUUCAUCAACUAUGUCUUCUUUUGAACAAGCCCUCAGAUGCUGCGAUCUCUGACCUUUAGGAGGAACUGCUACUUUCACUCUGUAACGAGACGGCGGCUAUUUUAAAGACCCAGCUCCUAGUGGCUUUGAAGUGAAAA